rnacentral:rRNA from 1 species
UGGGGAAUAUUGGACAAUGGGCGAAAGCCUGAUCCAGCCAUGCCGCGUGUGUGAAGAAGGUCUUCGGAUUGUAAAGCACUUUAAGUUGGGAGGAAGGGCAGUAAGCGAAUACCUUGCUGUUUUGACGUUACCGACAGAAUAAGCACCGGCUAACUCUGUGCCAGCAGCCGCGGUAAUACAGAGGGUGCAAGCGUUAAUCGGAAUUACUGGGCGUAAAGCGCGCGUAGGUGGUUCGUUAAGUUGAAUGUGAAAGCCCCGGGCUCAACCUGGGAACUGCAUCCAAAACUGGCGAGCUAGAGUAGGGCAGAGGGUGGUGGAAUUUCCUGUGUAGCGGUGAAAUGCGUAGAUAUAGGAAGGAACACCAGUGGCGAAGGCGACCACCUGGGCUCAUACUGACACUGAGGUGCGAAGGCGUGGGGAGCAAACAGG